ACUCAAAUGAAUAGACGGGGACCCGCACAAGCGGUGGAGCAUGUGGUUUAAUUCGAUGCAACGCGAAGAACCUUACCUGGACUUGACAUGUUUUAGAAUCUGACAGAGAUGUCGGAGUGCUGUUUACAGAACUUUAACACAGGUGCUGCAUGGCUGUCGUCAGCUCGUGUCGUGAGAUGUUGGGUUAAGUCCCGCAACGAGCGCAACCCUUGCUCUUAGUUGCCAGCAUUUAGUUGGGGACUCUAAGAGGACUGCCAAUGUGAAAAAUUGGAGGAAGGUGGGGAUGAUGUCAAGUCAUCAUGGUCCUUAUGUCCAGGGCUACACACGUGCUACAAUGGUAGGUACAGAGGGUAGCGAAGCAGUGAUGCGGAGCCAAUCUCAGAAAGCCUAUCUCAGUUCGGAUUGAAGUCUGCAACUCGACUUCAUGAAGCUGGAAUCGCUAGUAAUCGCGUGUCAGCAUAAUGCGGUGAAUACGUUCCCGGGUCUUGUACACACCGCCCGU
rnacentral:rRNA from 1 species